CGCUUGCGCGUCCCGCCGGCGACCGGCGCACGGGUGAGUAACACGUAUGCAACCUGCCCCCGCCAGGGGUACGACCCUCCAAAGGGGGGCUGAUACCGCGUACAUCCCCUGGGGGCAUCCCCGGGGGAGGAAAGCCCUUUUGGGCGGGCGGGGAUGGGCAUGCGGCGCAUUAGGAAGACGGCGGUGUGACGGACUACCGUUCCGACGAUGCGUAGGGGUUCUGAGAGGAAGGCCCCCCACACUGGUACUGAGACACGGACCAGACUCCUACGGGAGGCAGCAG
rnacentral:rRNA from 1 species